rnacentral:rRNA from 1 species
GAUGAACGCUGGCGGCGUGCCUAAUACAUGCAAGUCGAGCGAACGGACGAGAAGCUUGCUUUUCUGAUGUUAGCGGCGGACGGGUGAGUCACACGUGGAUAACCUACCUAUAAGACUGGGAUAACUUCGGGAAACCUGAUCUAAUACCGGAUAAUAUUUUGAACCGCAUGGUUCAAAAGUGAAAGACGGUCUUGCUGUCACUUAUAGAUGGAUCCGCGCUGCAUUAGCUAGUUGGUAAGGUAACGGCUUACCAAGGCAACGAUGCAUAGCCGACCUGAGAGGGUGAUCGGCCACACUGGAACUGAGACACGGUCCAGACUCCUACGGGAGGCAGCAGUAGGGAAUCUUGCACAAUGGGCGAAAGCCUGACGGAGCAACGCCGCGUGAGUGAUGAAGGCCUUCGGAUCGUAAAACUCUGUUAUUAGGGAAGAACAUAUGUGUAAGUAACUGUGCACAUCUUGACGGUACCGAAACAGAAAGCCACGGCUAACUACGUG